AUGACCCAAUUACUUCAAAGUUAUGUACAGGCUGACUGGGCUCUCUACUGGGAUAUCUGGUCUUUGAGGGAUAACAAACUUUGCUAGCUAAACGCGGAUAUCUGGUGUUUUUUUUUUCCCUGUAGAAUCCGUUCAAUGAUGUAUUGACUGCCGGAUUCGCCGACGAUUCUAGUUCCUACCGAUGCCAUUCUUGUUGCACUCUGCUCAGGAUCGCCUGUCGAAGUUUGUUGCAUAUCCAUAUUAGUAUGAACAGGUCUCGAGAAGGUGAUAGGGCAAAGAAGGUUUCGGAAUAAGAGCCCUGAAUACACGGAGCAUCCAGUACGCCUUGUGCCAGAAAGUCUCGGAUGUAAUGGAACUGAGGAAAAUGCAACUCUAGACAUGGC
rnacentral:sRNA from 1 species